CCAACCCAGAGAGGGAAGGGGACUCACCCACAGUGACUCAGCAAGGUCACCACAGAGGAGGGAACAGAAUCUGGGGAUGUGGAGGGAUGGACCAAGGGCCAGGCAGUAGCCGUCUGCACCCUGCUGUUCUCCAGAAGACCAAGCCCUACUCAGGCUCAGCAGCCACCCUUGCCCCUUUCUGUGGCCCACUCCAUGUCAUCGUCUGAGGAAUGGGGCCCAGAUGUGGUUUUUUUCCACCUGGCAGACACCUGCUGACAGCUUCUGUCGCUUGGCGGCUGUAAUUGCAGUGCUCUCUCCCCUUUAUGCCCUGCUAGGCACAGACUCCAUCUGCCUCUGCCAGGGAGUUUAUUAAAUAGUUUAUUAAAUCU
rnacentral:lncRNA from 1 species